rnacentral:rRNA from 1 species
GAUGAACGCUGGCGGCGUGCCUAAUACAUGCAAGUCGAGCGAACAGACGAGGAGCUUGCUCCUCUGACGUUAGCGGCGGACGGGUGAGUAACACGUGGAUAACCUACCUAUAAGACUGGGAUAACUUCGGGAAACCGGAGCUAAUACCGGAUAAUAUAUUGAACCGCAUGGUUCAAUAGUGAAAGACGGUUUUGCUGUCACUUAUAGAUGGAUCCGCGCCGCAUUAGCUAGUUGGUAAGGUAACGGCUUACCAAGGCGACGAUGCGUAGCCGACCUGAGAGGGUGAUCGGCCACACUGGAACUGAGACACGGUCCAGACUCCUACGGGAGGCAGCAGUAGGGAAUCUUCCGCAAUGGGCGAAAGCCUGACGGAGCAACGCCGCGUGAGUGAUGAAGGUCUUCGGAUCGUAAAACUCUGUUAUUAGGGAAGAACAAAUGUGUACGUAACUAUGCACGUCUUGACGGUACCUAAUCAGAAAGCCACGGCUAACUACGUG